rnacentral:lncRNA from 1 species
GUUUGAGGAAGAAGCUCACCCAGGAAGAAAAGACGAAAGUCCAUGCAAGGAUGAGGAGCCACUGGAUUAAGGCAAUAGCAUAUCAAGUUAUGUCAAGCUGAACACAUUCAAACUUGUACAAGCAAGAUCCUAGACAAGGACGCUGGUAGAGGAAACAUAUUGGGGCAAGUUUAAGAGACAAACAGUCCCACAGAAACACAGAUGCAAGCAAAGGAAGAUGCUGGCUGCAUUAUAUGCUGUAUGUCCAGGUCAGAGGCUGUAAAACUUGAAGAAAGGAGCCAAGAUCGCCAGAAAUACAGUGGUGGUAUUAUAGCAAACAUGAGAUCCUAAGUCCUUUUUCAAAGCGUGCCUGCUCCCUGCAAGAGGAGGAACAGUGGCCAACCCACUCAAUCAGCUGUUGCCAUGUGGGACCUGUGCGAGGCCACCUUGGUAGGAGAAAGUAAGAAGAUAUGACCAGUUAUCUCCUCCAUCAGACAAAGGCACUAUUGAUUGUUCAGGAAAUUAAGUGGCCCCCUUUGCACCACAGUGCAAAAAAUGUACUCUUCUUUGGUGAAUCUUUAUUAUGUUGAUUGUUAAAGUGAUAUCUGUACAUAUUAAAUGUGUUAUGGCCUUAAGUGUUACAAUCCUUGCUCUGUGUAUAUUUACAUUUAUAUGUGUAUCAAUAUUCUCAAGCAGGAACACAGCACUGCCCUUCCAGCUCCCUCCCCCAGCUAGAGGACAUCUGGCAAUUUGACAUUUUGGUUGUCACAAUCUAGGGGACAGGGCUACUACUAGCAUCUACAGGGUAGAGCCAGUGGUACUGCUAAAUAUCUUAUAAUCCAUAGUACUGCUCCUGCAAUGAAGAAUUAUCUGGCUUAUGAUGUCAAUAAAAAUAAUAAUUUUCAUCAGAAAAGAGUUGUAUCAUUUUCAAAACACUUUCACAUGCAUUAUUUUAUUGAUGCUCAUAAAGUCAUUGUGAGGUAAUAAGCUUUCUAAUUUAUGGAUGAGGAAAUUGAGGUUUAAAAGGGAAAAGUGACUUUACCAAUGUCAUAUUACUAGAAAAGUGAAGGUGUUAGAGCACGAAAAUUAAUCUUCAGCCCUCUCUUACUUUCCAUACUUUUUCCUGGCAAUGUCCUGUGGGCAAAGAUAAAUGUGCCAGUCUCCUUCACUUCAAGCCCAGCAUGGUACUUUCCACUUGCUAGAGCUUCAAAAAUGUGUUUGUUGAUUGACUAAUUAUAAAUGACAUCAAGGACAGUCAACUGUAUUAUUCCCCCCUAGUUUUUAAAUAAGAAAUGUCAACUGAUAUGGUUUGACUCUGUCCCCACUCAGAUCUCAUCUUGAGUUGUAGCUCCCACAAUUCCCACAUGUGGCUGGUGAUAGCUGGUGGGAGGUAAUUGAAUCAUGGGGGCAGGCCUUUCCCAUGCUGCUCUCGUGAUAGCGAAUAAGUCCAUGAGCUCUGAUGGUUUUAUCAAGGGGAAACCCCUUUCACUUGGCUCCUACUCUCUCUUGUCUGCCACCACGUAAGACAUGCCUUUGCUUCCCCUUUGCCUUCAGCCAUGAUUGUGAGGCCUGCCCAGCCAUGUGAAACUGUGAGUCAAUUUAACCUCUUCCAUUUAGAAAUUACGCAGUCUCAGGUAAGUCUUUAGUAGCAAUGUGAGAACAGACUAAUAUAACAACUCAGAUCCCUAGGAAAGAUUUCUGUGUAAUUCAACAUACAUUUCCUGUUUUACAUGAAUAGAUGGCUGUAGCAUGUCUGGUUGUUUUUUUUUUUGUUUGUUUGUUGUUUUGUUUUUUUUUUUUUUAAUUUUGCUCUGGUGUAAAUCUUAGAGUAGUUCAAAAUGUAAAACCCCAAAACUUUUAGCUAGCAACAGGAUGUAGCCAUUCCGUGGCUUCCUUUUAACUGAAUAUGCACAGGCAGAGGAGCCAAGAGAAGGAACCAGCUUUUCUGAGUGACAGCAUAUUUCAAAGACAGGUAAAGGACAAACUGGAACAGAACUGGGGGUAAUACAUUGAAAACAAAACAAAACACAACAAGAAACAGUAACACGCAUGGAUCUCUGCCCAGAUUCCCACCCAAAAACUAAUUUAUUAAGCUGAUAUAAUAACACUGUGCAACAAUAGCCAGGCUAGCUUAGCUUUAUAUUUAGCUCAAGAAGCAAUUAAAGACAAAAAGAAAAAGAACACUCAUACUGUACAUGAUGAACAAAUCACAAGAUGUUCAACACAUUUGUUUAGCAGACAGUA